AUUGAACGCUGGCGGCAGGCCUAACACAUGCAAGUCGAGCGGAUGAAGGGAGCUUGCUCCUGGAUCCAGCGGCGGACGGGUGAGUAAUGCCUAUGAAUCUGCCGCGCAGUGGGGUAUAACGUCCUCAAACGGGCGCUAAUAACGCAUACGUCCUGAUGGAGAAAGUGGGGGAUCUUCGGACCUUACGCUAUCAGAUGGGCCUAGUUCGGAUUAGCUAGUUGGUGGGUUAAAGGCCUACCAAGGCGACGAUCCGUAACUGGUCGGAGAGGAUGAUCAGUCACACUGGAACUGAGCCGCGGUCCUGACGCCUACGGGAGGCAGCAGUGGGGAAUAUUGGACAAUGGGCGAAAGUAUGAUACAGUGCUGCCGAGUGUGUGACGACGGUCUUCGGAUUGUAAAGACCUUUAUGUUGGGAGGAAGCGCAGUAAGUUAAUACCUUGCUGUAUUGACGGCAACAACAGAAUAAGCACCGGCUAACUUCGUG
rnacentral:rRNA from 1 species